rnacentral:rRNA from 1 species
UACGAAGGGGGCUAGCGUUGUUCGGAAUCACUGGGCGUAAAGGGCGCGUAGGCGGCCGAUCAAGUCGGGGGUGAAAGCCUGUGGCUCAACCACAGAAUUGCCUUCGAUACUGUUUGGCUUGAGACCGGAAGAGGUUAGUGGAACUGCGAGUGUAGAGGUGAAAUUCGUAGAUAUUCGCAAGAACACCAGUGGCGAAGGCGGCUGACUGGUCCGGUUCUGACACUGAGAGACGAAAGCUAGGGGAGCAAAUGGG